AAGAAUCUAAUAGAAAGGGUCCUAAGAGGUAGUGGCUGGAUCCUCUGUCUCCAAAGCUUGCUCCAGGGAAACAUCCUUUGACUCUGCUCACAUCCAAAGGAUUGGAUGAUCAUCGCAAGGGGGAGGGCAAGCACAUACAACAAACACAAUGCAAGGGUAAGCUAGGUAUAAAAAGCAUGUUAUCAAUCAAGUAUAUCAAGCAUGUAAUGACAAUAAUACAACACAAACUGUAACUGAAUGCAUUUUAUUGAUACCAAGGACAGACCACGUGAUUUGACCAUGCGGACUAGUAUGAAAUGUCGAGUUCCAGGGGUUUGUGCACUUGUGGUGGCCCUACUGCUUUGCAAAGCCAUUGCCGAGGGGUUUCACCCGACCACACACAAGUGUAAGUCCAACCAAACUCAUCUUGGCCCAUAUAAAAUGGAGACACCCAAGACUAGAACCUCCUCCUAUUCUCACCACAUGACUCAUCACUCUCUAAUUGAGCAUGGAUGGUCAUUAGAAUGUCAAGGUAAACCCCAUCCUGAACUCCGACCAUUCAUACGGUCAAUCACAACAACUACAGGGCAC
rnacentral:lncRNA from 1 species